AAUUUUUUUUACCGGAAAUUAAAACUUGACCAUAGAUAUCUCACCUCUUUCCGUCUCUCGUAUGGAGAGAAAAUCUGUCCUCCUAGAUUUCCUUCACUUUCCCAGUUAAUGCUUUUAUUAAUUUCUCAGUCUUAUUCGACGCACCUUUGCCUUUCACCUACCCUUUCUUCUCCAUAUAAAGGCCCUGUAUUCAACCUUAGUCCUCCAAAAUCUAGCUUCUAUCUCCAGUUAACCAUUCGCCAUGCAUUAUCCCUUUUGCAACAGGUGUACACUCCGUUUUUUUCUUCUCUUACUUCGAAGCUAUAUAUUGCUUGUAAAUUUGGGAGCUUUCUUUGGUUCAAAAUGAGGAAAGAAAGUGGGUAUACUCGUCUGCUUGUUCAUGGAUACCUCUGGGUUGCGCAGGAUAUAUUAGUUAGGGCUACAGCUUAAGGGUUUGCAUGGCCAAGGAGACGUUGCCUGCCUUCUCCUUUCGUUUCUUGGAUUGAAGGGAGCUCCUACAUGAGUUGAUGGGUGCAGACCAAUUUUCGGUAAUAUUAAAAAAUGAAGCUUAAUUUGCCUGAGUCUUGUUGAUCAAGUGAGUGGGAAUUUAUGCUUAAGCAGCUUAUUGUGACUCGUUAUCUUUCAGAAUAUUGUUCCUAUCUACUGCUAUUAUUUCCCCUAUUGCUUGUCGGUUCGUGGUCUCGAUCUGAUUGGUAUCAGAAAACAUGCAGUAAAAGUCUUAGGACUACCUGUCAAUGCAUGGUCUCAAUCUGAUAAAGGUAGUCUUAGGACUACCUUUUUUCUUUUUUGCUGGCCAUGAAUGGAGGCUUUUUAUAAAAUUUCAUUUCAGUCCCUGAAGUUUUGAUAAAAAGUUGUUUUAAUUCUUAUAUGUUUGUUUUAUUUAUAAACUGAUGUUACUGAUCCUUA